UUAAGCAUAUCAAUAGCCGAGAGGAAU
rnacentral:rRNA from 1 species